rnacentral:rRNA from 1 species
GGACUACAGGGGUAUCUAAUCCCGUUCGCUCCCCUGGCUUUCGCGUCUCAGCGUCAGUAAACGUCCAGGAGCUCGCUUUCGCCACGGGCGUUCCUUCCGAUCUCAACGCAUUUCACCGCUCCACCGGAAGUUCCAGCUCCCCCUACGUUCCUCGAGGCGGACCGUUUCGGCGCCCCUUCCCCGGUUGAGCCGGGGGAUUUCAGCGGCCGACGUUCCCACCCGCCUACACGCGCUUUAAGCCCAGUGAUUCCGAAUAACGUUCGCACGGUUCGUCUUACCGCGGCUGCUGGCAC